CCUACGGGAGGCAGCAGUGGGGAAUAUUGCACAAUGGGCGCAAGCCUGAUGCAGCCAUGCCGCGUGUGUGAAGAAGGCCUUCGGGUUGUAAAGCACUUUCAGCGGGGAGGAAGGCGUUAAGGUUAAUAACCUUGUCGAUUGACGUUACCCGCAGAAGAAGCACCGGCUAACUCCGUGCCAGCAGCCGCGGUAAUACGGAGGGUGCAAGCGUUAAUCGGAAUUACUGGGCGUAAAGCGCACGCAGGCGGUCUGUCAAGUCGGAUGUGAAAUCCCCGGGCUCAACCUGGGAACUGCAUUCGAAACUGGCAGGCUAGAGUCCUGUAGAGGGGGGUAGAAUUCCAGGUGUAGCGGUGAAAUGCGUAGAGAUCUGGAGGAAUACCGGUGGCGAAGGCGGCCCCCUGGACAAAGACUGACGCUCAGGUGCGAAAGCGUGGGGAGCAAGCAGGAUUAGAUACCCGGGUAGUC
rnacentral:rRNA from 1 species